CUGGGUUUGACAUCCCGCGAAUCCCUAUGAAAUUAGGGAGUGCCCUUCGGGGAACGCGGAGACAGGUGCUGCAUGGCUGUCGUCAGCUCGUGCCGUGAGGUGUUGGGUUAAGUCCCGCAACGAGCGCAACCCUUGUUGCCAGUUGCUACCAGGUAAUGCUGGGCACUCUGGCGAGACUGCCCGGGUCAACCGGGAGGAAGGUGGGGACGACGUCAAGUCAUCAUGGCCCUUACAUCCAGGGCUACACACGUACUACAAUGGCAGGUACAAAGGGUUGCCAAGCCGCGAGGCCGCGCUAAUCCCAGAAAGCCUGUCUCAGUCCGGAUUGCAGUCUGCAACUCGACUGCAUGAAGCUGGAAUCGCUAGUAAUCCCGGAUCAGCAUGCCGGGGUGAAUACGUUCCC
rnacentral:rRNA from 1 species